rnacentral:rRNA from 1 species
CAACAGGGAUUGCCUUAGUAGCGGCGAGUGAACAGGCAAGAGCUCAGAUUUGAAAGCCUCUUGUAGGCAUUGUAUUCUGAAGCCUUGGUCUCGGGAAUCGGUGUUUAAGUCUUCUGGAAAGGAGCGCCAUGGAGGGUGAUAGCCCCGUGAAGCACCACUCUCAUUUUGGGACCUUGGCAUGGAGUCGAGUUGUUUGGGAAUGCAGCUCAAAUGGGUGGUAUGCUCCAUCUAAAGCUAAAUAUCUGCGAGAGACCGAUAGCGAACAAGUACUGUGAAGGAAAGAUGAAAAGAACUUUGAAAAGAGAGUGAAAUAGUACGUGAAAUUGUUGAAAUGGAAGGGUAGGCCGCUAACCACGUAGAGUCGUGUUCAGGGGGAGGAUAAAAGCUGCAACCUAUGUCAUUCUUUGAGUGGCAUAGGCGCGGUGCAUACUCCCACCCGAGCGCGAGGACCUAAGACUCUACUAAAUGGUGGUCUACCA